GAUGAACGCUGGCGGCGUGCUUAACACAUGCAAGUCGAACGUGAGGGAUUAGCAAUAGUCCUGAAAGUGGCGAACGGGUGAGUAACACGUAGAUGACCUGCCCUGGAGUGGGGGAUAACCACUGGAAACGGUGGCUAAUACCGCAUACAUCCAUAUUUCUGGGAAGAGAUGUGGGGAAAGCUCUGGUGCUCUGGGAGGGGUCUGCAUCCGAUUAGCUAGUUGGAGAGGUAAACGCUCACCAAGGCGACGAUCGGUAGCUGGUCUGAGAGGACGAUCAGCCACACGGGAACUGAGACACGGUCCCGACUCCUACGGGGGGCAGCAGUGAGGAAUAUUGGGCAAUGGGCGAGAGCCUGACCCAGCAACGCCGCGUGGAGGAAGACGGCCUUCGGGUUGGUAAACUCCUUUUGUACAGGGAAGAGAGAGGACGGUACCUGUCGAAUAAGUCACGGCUAACUACGUGCCAGCAGCCGCGGU
rnacentral:rRNA from 1 species